rnacentral:misc_RNA from 1 species
UUUCCGUAGGUGAACCUGCGGAAGGAUCAUUAGUGAAUUUUGGGUGCCUCUUCCACAGAGGGCCCGUCUUCCACUUUACACCCUGUGCACCUGUCCGUCGUCCCGCGGCCUUCCCAGGCCCGGCUCGAUCAGUUUUACAAAGUUGCUGCUGGCCUUCGCGGGCCGGCGGCGGCUUAACAAACGCAAGUCAAUGAAUGUAAAAAGUUUAUAACAAAAUAAAACUUUCAACAACGGAUCUCUUGGCUCCCGCAUCGAUGAAGAACGCAGC